CACGUAGGGCGCAAGCGUUGUCCGGAAUUAUCGGGCGUAAAGAGCUCGUAGGCGGUCUGUUACGUCUGCUGUGAAAACCCGGGGCUUAACCCUGGGCUUGCAGUGGAUACGGGCAGACUAGAGGCAGGUAGGGGAGAAUGGAAUUCCCGGUGUAGCGGUGAAAUGCGCAGAUAUCGGGAGGAACACCGGUGGCGAAGGCGGUUCUCUGGGCCUGACCUGACGCUGAGGAGCGAAAGCGUGGGGAGCGAACAGG
rnacentral:rRNA from 1 species